CAGUAGCCGCGGUAAUACGAAGGGUGCAAGCGUUACUCGGAAUUACCGGGCGUAAAGCGUGCGUAGGCGGUGAGUUAAGUCUGCUGUGAAAUCCCCGGGCUCAACCUGGGAAUGGCAAUGGAUACUGGCAAGCUAGAGUGUGUCAGAGGAUGGUGGAAUUCCCGGUGUAGCGGUGAAAUGCGUAGAGAUCGGGAGGAACAUCAGUGGCGAAGGCGGCCAUCUGGGACAACACUGACGCUGAGGCACGAAAGCGUGGGGAGCAAACAGGAUUAGAUACCCGAGUAGUCCCUGUCUCUUAUAU
rnacentral:rRNA from 1 species